GAGAGUUAAACAGCACGUGAAAUUGUUGAAAGGGAAACGAUUGAAGCCAGUCGUACCUGCGGACAAUCAGCUUUUUGAGUGUGAUUAUGUGGAUUGUGAGGAGUUUAAUCACCCUCAUGUUUUACGUAUUCGUGCUCUUGGGUGUACUUGCCCGUGUGGUAGGUUAACAUCAAUUUUGGUCGUCAUAAAAUGACUGGAGGAAUGUAGCUUUGGUCUCGUAUCGAAGUGUUAUAGACUCUGGUAGAUGUGACGAUUGGGAUUGAGGAUUGCAACGGAUACCCUUCGGGGCUACUCGUCUGAUCUCUGAAGGUUGCUCCGGUACCGAAAGCGUGCUUACGGUCAUCGAAAGUGAUUUUUAAAAGGUUAGAACGGGUUAAAUUCGUUAAGGAUGUUGACGUAAUGGCUUUAAACGA
rnacentral:rRNA from 1 species